rnacentral:rRNA from 1 species
CACGGGGGGAGCAAGCGUUGUUCGGAAUCACUGGGCGUAAAGGGCGUGUAGGCGGUCAGGUAAGUGGAAUGUGAAAGCCCUCGGCUCACCCGAGGAUCUGCAUUCCAAACUGCCUGGCUUGAGUAUGGGAGAGGAUGAGGGAAUUCCUGGUGUAGCGGUGAAAUGCGUAGAUAUCAGGAGGAACACCGGUGGCGAAGGCGCUCAUCUGGCCCAAUACUGACGCUGAGGCGCGAAAGCGUGGGGAGCAAACAGG